CUACGGGUCGCAGCAGUGGGGGAUAUUGCACAAUGGAGGAAACUCUGAUGCAGCAACGCCGCGUGAAGGAAGAAGGUUUUCGGAUUGUAAACUUCUAUCAGCAGGGAAGAAAAUGACUGUACCUGACUAAGAAGCCCCGGCUAACUACGUGCCAGCAGCCGCGGUAAUACGUAGGGGGCAAGCGUUAUCCGGAAUUACUGGGUGUAAAGGGUACGUAGGCGGUUCAUUAAGUCAGAUGUGAAAGCCCGAGGCUCAACCUCGGGACUGCAUUUGAAACUGGUGAACUAGAGUACAGGAGAGGUAAGUGGAAUUCCUAGUGUAGCGGUGAAAUGCGUAGAUAUUAGGAAGAACACCAGUGGCGAAGGCGGCUUACUGGACUGUAACUGACGCUGAGGUACGAAAGCGUGGGGAGCGAACAGGAUUAGAUACCCUAGUAGUC
rnacentral:rRNA from 1 species